UACAGAGGUCUCAAGCGUUGUUCGGAUUCAUUGGGCGUAAAGGGUGCGUAGGUGGCGCUGUAAGUCGGGUGUGAAAUUUCGGAGCUUAACUCCGAAACUGCAUUCGAUACUGCCGUGCUUGAGGACUGGAGAGGAGACUGGAAUUUACGGUGUAGCGGUGAAAUGCGUAGAUAUCUGGAGGAACACCGGUGGCGAAGGCGACAUCCUGGACCGUAGUUGUACGCUGAGGCGCGAAAGCCAGGGGAGCAAACGGG
rnacentral:rRNA from 1 species